UACGUAGGGCGCGAGCGUUGUCCGGAAUUAUUGGGCGUAAAGCGCACGUAGGCGGCUUGGCAAGUCGGAUGUGAAAUCCCUCGGCUCAACCAAGGAAGUGCAUCCGAAACUGCCGAGCUUGAGUACUUAAGAGGAUCGCGGAAUUCCCGGUGUAGAGGUGAAAUUCGUAGAUAUCGGGAGGAACACCAGUGGCGAAGGCGGCGAUCUGGGAAGAUACUGACGCUGAGGUGCGAAAGCGUGGGGAGCAAACAGG
rnacentral:rRNA from 1 species